GGGAAAACACAUCUGCAAGACUCUAAAGCCAGAAAACAAAGCGUUAGAAAUGAAUUUAUCUCCCUGUGCAUGAAUAUAUUCAGAGCAACUCCUGGUUUAUAAAGGAAAGUAUCCAUGCUGACCUUGCGACCCUAAGAAUAAACCCUUGGAAUUUCACUUCGGGACAAUUCCAAUUUUGAGCUCAUCGGAUAGAAGAAAGAGCUCCUUGAUGAAAAUGAAGGAAGUUCUAGCUUUCUUCUGUACCUGGAAGACCUGGUGAUCCAUGAUGAAGACUGAAGGAAGUAAAAGGGGAAGGGAUUUGGAGUCAGGCGGAUGGGGUUCAGCUUUCCCUGCAACUUCCUGCUUCCUUUGCUCAAAAUGGCCUUGGGGAAUUUGUGCUUCCCUCUCUGAACUUGACCUUCAUCCUUAAAAAUCAAACAAUGAAACACCACAAGAAUCUGUGAGAGGCCUACAGACGACGUGGGCCACACAGCUCCUGACUCCCAAGGAACUCUGCAUUCAGAUGUGUGGAAAAGGAGUCACCCUCACACACAGAAUAUGGAGUCUUAAGCCAGCAUUAGGACUUUCAGAGCAGUGGGAGCUGAGCUAACAUAUUGGAAACAACCUCCAGGAAUCAUGGACAUGGCACAGUUGUGCUUUUCCUCUGAAACAGAGAUGGAAGGGCUUACUUCUCAGGUAGAGGCUAUUCCAGAUGAUUCUGAGAACACAUCUAAGCAACUGUAUCGAAAGCCUUCACCCUAAACGAAAGCCUGGAUUUGCUGAUAUGGAAAAUAUGAAUCUGUGUAUGGGCAAUCACCUGAAGGAGAAUGGUGUGCAGCCAAGAUGGCCUAGGAGCUACCUGGAAGAUGUGAUCAUUCCACAUGGGUCCUGUUCCCCUUCUAGGAAUGUUGAUGGUUUCUACUGUCACUUAUACCUGAGAUAUCUCACCUCCACCUCCACUCUGUCCUAAACUCUGCUGUGGAGCAAUAUUUCAUUCUAAGUGUCUUUUGCUUGGGAUGCUCCUUCUGUUGCCCACAUCCCUGAGAUAAUUGUUAAUUUUUUCAGAGAUUGAUACAGGGAUCAUCUCAUGCAGAAACACUCUCUCUCUCUCUCUCUCUCUCUCUCUCUCUCUCUCUCUCUCUGUGUGUGUGUGUGUGUGUGUGUGUGUGUGUGUGUGUGUGUGUGUGUGUGUAUGUGUAUAUACACAGGUCAGACUUAGUAUCAUUCCUCAGGACCUCAGUCCACUUUGGGUUUUUGUUUUUGUUUUAUUUUGUUUUGUUUUUUAAACAGAGUGUCUGACUAGGCUGGGACUCCUCCCUGGCCAGCCAGCCCAGCACAUCUGUUUCACCUUCUCAGCCUCUGUAUUGUAAGCAAGCACUAAGACAGUUGGAUGUUGUUUGUUUGUUUGUUUGUUUGUUUGUUUUACCAAGAGUAUCAGAGAAAACUCAGGUCCUCGUUCUCAGAUGGCAAAGCUUUUUCCAACUGAGCUACCUUCCUACCCUGCUUUCAUGACUCUCUAAUCAUAGUCCCUGAAACAUACUCUAUGGGAAGGACUGGAGGACGGACUGAUGGAUGAAAAGACUCUAGGGCAGUGGCUCUCAACCUUCCUAUAGCUGCAACCCUUUAAUAUAGUUCUGCAUGUUGUGGUGAC